CAUCCCCCCACCCCACGACAGGACCCAGUGUGUGAUGUUCCCCACUCUGUGUCCAAGUGUUCUAAUUGAAUUCCAACCUUUUAAUAAUAUGGUUGGUUCUUCCCACAACCAGCCCCCAACCUGAAGCUAAGGACUUUCAGCCACCAGUUAUCUCAUUAGCAUAAACUCAGACCCACUUACCAUCCUUUAUCACUCUUCUCUGUGCUCUGAAACACUUACCUUUUGGAAUGCAUCACCUGGAUUCCUGUUGUAUUUGACCAAUAAGAAGCACUGGCAGGAUACAGGAGGGUGGUAAGAAAGAGAACUCAGUGUACCUACUUCCUUCCCAUCAAGCUGUGGGACAAUAUGGCUGUGUGAUUCUGCUGCACAUAACUAUAGAAUGGCCUUCUCUUAUAGCAUCUUGUCUUGCUGGAUUCUGAUAACUUCCUCUUCCAGCUUAUGGGUUGCAUUAGGGUUCUCCAGAGAGACAGAACAAAUAGGAUAUAUAUAGGUAUAGUUGGAUGAGAGGGAAUUUAUUAGGGGAAUCUGCUCUUGUGAUUAUGGAGGGUGAGAAGUCCCGUGACAGGCUGUCUGCAAGCUGGGGAACCAUGGAAGCCAUGGUGAGCCUCAGUCCAAGUCUGAAAUCCUCAGAACCAUGGAACAUGAUGAUGUAACUCUCAGCCCAAGGCCAAAGGCCUGAGAACCUGGGUAACCACUGGUGCGAGUACUGGAGUUCAAAACCCAAACAACCUGGAGUUCUGAUGUCCAAGGGCAGAAGAAGAGCGUCCCAGCUCUUGAAGAGACAGCAAGGAUUUGCCUUUCCUCAGCCCUUUUGGUUCCAUCCAGGCCCCCGGCCAAUUGGAUGGUGCCUAUCCACAUUGAAGGCAGAUCUUCCCCACUCAGUCUACCUACUCAAAUGCCAGCCUCUUCUGGAAACACCCUCACAGACACACCCAGAAAUAAUGCAUUGUCAUCUCUCUAGGUAUCCCUGAAUUCAGUCAUGUCGACACCUAAAACUAACCAUCACAGGGAUGGUAGCAGCUCCUCAUAGUGACUAGCCCCAGGGUGCUUCAUCAUCAUUUGCUGUUUUCCUUUAACCCUUUUGUAAAUAGUUGCUUCAUUAGACUGUCUUCAGUCACUCCUUUUGCACAUACCAUCUAUUUCCUGAUAGGACGCUGACUGAUACAAUGGGGAUAAUAAUAGUACUGACCGCAGCCCAUGGUGGUGAGGAUUAAAUGCAUUAUGUGAGAAAUGCCUGAUUGUAGUAACCACCAUUAAAUGUCUUUCUGUCUGAUACCUCCAAGUAUGGUCAAAGCUUUCUGAAAGAUUUGGCAUAUAAGUUAAAUAAUACUGUCACUUAUCUCCUCUUCCCUAUCCUGUUUCAGAAGGAUGGGUUGAGAUUCAAGACUUUUGAACAAAUCUGUUCUAAGACAAAUGUAAAGUUUCCUCCCUCUCAUUUUUAUGGGGAUGAAAAAGGAGACAGGAACCAGGCUAGAUUCACCUACUGUGUCAGGCACUUUGUACUUUAUACAUAUAACCAUUGUACUCAGCUUAUGGCUUGGGUCAUGUUACCCACAGUGGUACCCCCAAAUAUAACAAUUUCCAAGCAUUUGCCUGCCCAUCUUACUAAGAAAUGGAGUCUUUUUAAAGGCCACCCUGCAGUUUUAUGGUCCAGGAAUCCUUAGGUGGUGCUUAUUUGCAUGCACAGAGUCAGUUCUGGCUGCUCUAGUGUCUUGUCAGGGGAGCUGGGAUUCAGAAACACCAUAUUGAGACCCGUGAACACCGUGAUAAUUGCUCCAUGCCCUCUCUUCUCCACUUGACACUGGCUGUUGCUGCUGCUGCCCCUACUCACACCAGAACUUGGAGGCUUGGCCUUUGCUUACUUGAGAGCCUGACUGGUUUCCCAGGGUCCUACUCUCUCCUGGCUGCAGGGAUGAGAAUGCUACUCUCCUGUGCACUCUCUGAGUGGGCCCAGGUCCUCCUGAUUGCGACACAAGCCUACACCUGUCCUAGGUUUUGGGAUUGGGUGGGCUACGUGUGCGUAGCCUUGAGCUGGCCUCCAACUGACAGGGGCGUCCCUAUCCCCUGCCUUGCUCCCGUGAUGUACCCUAGAUCUCUCCACCCUUUAGAAGCCUAUGUAUCCUGCCAUCCUCCUCCUCAAGCCCUGAACACAGCUUCUGAGAGCUAACUUUUUCUCAGGAUGAUUGACAGUGGAAAAUUCAAUUCCCUUCACAGGAAACCUCACCCUACCACGGGGGUGUGGUUUGGCCUCCUAUUCCAACAAAACAAUCACAAAAUAGUUCAGCGUUGUUACACUUCCCCAAAUCUGAGUAACUCAGUCUUUUCCAUGAUUAAUCUUGUUGGGCACAUUAGUUUAUUUCAUUCUCAGAACAACUUAGUGAAGCAGAUGAAAUUAUUUUCAUUUUCUAAAGGAGGAAACAGAGGCUCAGAGAGGUUAAAGGAUCUGCCCAGAGUCGUUUGGCUAGAGGCAAAGAUUAGAUUCAACAUCUAAUCUCUGGCUCCAGAGCCAGUUUCGGUUUUCUAGGAAGGAGAAUGUACAAGUUGGUCUCCUCCUAGGGAGACUGUAUUGGGAAUUGAAUAAAUAUGUUAAAGUAUCCAGCACAGGGACAGGCAGUACAAUACAUGGAUAUUCAGUACGUAUUUCUUGAACAAAAGAUGACUGGUAGGCACUCAAAACUAUAUAUAUAUAUUUUUUUUAUUUUUUAGACCACCAAAUAAUGAUCAAUAUUAUCUGAAUAUUGAUCUGAAACAACAACCAUAAAAACUCCUCUUUGCUUCCUUCAUUUAUUUCCUGCCCUUUCUGCCCUUUCCAUCCAUUCAUUCCUAUGUAUUGCAGCAGAGUCCCUGGGACACGAAAUCUCCCCUGGUUUCCCAAUAGUGCUGAUACUAUUUCUAAAAGAAACGAAACCUUUGCAGCAGCACAAUUUGGGGCGAGGCGGUAGAAGCCUAAGGAGAAUACAAAAGGACGAUUCAGGGCAGGUGGACUCAAACUUGAAUGUAAAAUUGAUCACCACUCCCCUAAUAUUGGUUUGCAAAGUGAUAUUACACAUUGCUCAGGAAGUGAGUUUUAUUUCAGGGUAUUCUAGUUGGGAGAGAGAAUGGAGUAGGAAGGGGGAAAAUGACAAUAAAUUCUGAAGAUAAAUGGUUAUCUGCUUUGGCUAAAAAAAAAAAAAAGAUCAAGGAAAGAGAUCUGGAGUAAUGGGAUAAAACAUAUAUAUGCUCACAUGCAUUCACACAGCACACACACACACACACACACACGUGCACACACGCACACACACACAUAGGAAAAUGGGAAGGGCAUUUUCCCUGCCAAAAAGAUGUUUCUACUAGAAAUAAAUGGAAGAGUGGCCAUUCAUUCCUGAAAAUUAAACACAAGCGUGACUCCCCAGAAACGAUAUUUCAUCAGUUGUUAAGCACUAAGGGAGUCUAAAGAGUGUAUAAAUUACUAGUGUGAUUUGUUCAAGGAUACUAUGAUUAUGGUUUCUGGGGCACAUUCUUGCCGGAUGAUCAUUGUGGAAUUUAUCCUGUUUGUUUUUUAUUACUCUCACACUCCUCAAAUCAGUUUUGCCCAGUGUGGACACAUUAAAUUAAUUUGAUAUUCAUGGUUUGCUCUCUCUCUCCUGCUCACCCCCUCUCCUUUCCAGUUUCUCUCCUUUUCUCACUCUCUUCUUUCCCUCCUCCAUUUCUGUCUCUGUUUUCCUAAGUCAGUUGCACCCUCCUCAGCCCCCACUCACCUCCUCUUGCUCCCUCCUCCUUUUUCCAUCUUAUAUUGGAAUAUGGACAGAAAAGGCAGUGCUUGCCUUCCUAGGGCUCUCUGCCAGAAAAUGGAAUAGGUCAGAUUAUAAAAGGGGAUAAAAAAAGAAUGUUCCUUGGCAAAAUGGGGAAAACAUGUUCAGGGAUGGUUUGCUGUCUCUUGCUGCCUGCUGCCUGCGGAAAUACACUCCUUACAGGACCCCUGCUUAUGAACAUUUAUCCCCAUGGCACAUAUGUGUGGUUAUGUUAAUGUCAAAUAUGUAUAAACAUUUAUUUCUGCUUAAUUCUCUUCCCCCUGUGACCUUUGUACCCCCAAAUCUAGAGUGGACAAGAUUACUGAUCACCUGAUGGUAAGACUUAUUAACCUUUUCUCAGGGAUUUUUUAAAAGAUUACUGGGAAGAGUGGACACUGAGACUGCUUUCAGGUUGCUGUCUAACAGUCAAUAGCUUUUGGAAACUUUAGGUUCUUAAGAAAACACAGAAGGGACAUGUGGGUACAAAACCUGGUCUGGAAUGAAUCCUGUGGAAAAUACAGGGUUUGGGGCCGGUGGGGUGGGGUACAAUAGUCUACUGCUGGGAUCUGUAAACCUGCCAGGGCUCCUUUGUCUGUCUCCCAAGGGUUUGCUGUUUACUGUCUGUUGACCAUGAAUAAAUGUCCAUUAUUGUUGCUCUUGUGGUUGGUCAGCCAGAGAGUUAGACUUUAGGCUCCUUUUAUAAAAAUAUUUACCUGCUAGCUCUAAAAGUCAUUUUCCCUCAAAUUCAAACGGCAACUCCAGACUGAGUAUUUGCUGUGAACUAAGGAGUGUGGCAGGCAGUUUUAUGUCGCUGUCUGGCUGUGGUGGGGGUUAACUUCAGGUGAACACCGGCUACCUCCCCCUCCACUGGUUCCCCUCCCAUCUUGUAGGCGGGUGAUUAGGAUCAAAAGAAUUAGCACAUUUAAAUCAUUUAGAAUAGUGCCUGAAAAUGACUAGCAUCUAAUAAAUAUUAUUCUCAUCCUACUGCUUUCCUGCUUUUUUUUUUUUUUUUUUUCCUGUCUUCCCCUCCUUGCCUUGUCACUCUCAAGUAUGGCUUCUUACCCUGAAGUCCAUUUUGUUUCUACUCUCUUAAUUCAUUUGCUGACAUUGAAAAAAGAUAGAAAAAGAAAAUAAAUUACAAAUAGCUUUAUUAAAUGCAUUAUAAUAAAAAGAGCUAAUAUUUAUUGAGUGCUUUUCAUGUGUUAGAUUAUAACAUUAUGUCAGUCAUCUUAAAACAAUCCUGUAAGACAGGUACUAUUACUUCCCUCAUCUUUCAGAUGGAGAACUGAAGCUAAGACAAGUUAAAUAACUUGCCAAAUCAUACCUGGUAAGUGGUAGGGCCAGGGCUUAAACCCAGCCCUGUUCUUCUCUAUUGCUAGGAUUCCUAACCACCAUCUUCAGUUCCAGAGCAAGUCACUAGAACCCAAACUCCUGAUUCUCAAUAACAGAUUCUUGGCAGAACCCUAAUUUGUGACUAGGUAUGUUUAACUACAAAACCUUAGCUUGACUCACUCACAAUACUGCCUACAACUUGCCACACACUGCAAGCUAGGCUCAGGCAUGUGAAGGUGAGUGAGACACAGUCCUUCCCUCAAAGAACUGGUAACUUAAUUGGGAAGAAAGAUCUAUUAACAGGAACAUUUACAACGUGGAGUUCUAGCUCCUUCAGGCCAGUGGGCACUGAUGGGCUGCAUGACCUUGGGCAAGUGAUCUAACCCCUGUGGACUUCAGUUUCCUCAUCUGUGAUAUGGGAAGGCAAAUAUCUACUUCAUAGGGUUAUUGGAAGGGGUUAAGUGAGAUAAUAUAUGUAGAGUGCCCAGCACAUAUUUGGCACUCUAUGAGCAAUUUCAAUUAUUGUUGUUAUUAUAUGGUGACUGCAAGGGGGACAUGGGACCCCAGAGAAGAGGAACCCGACUCAGUCAUGGAGGUCAAGGAGAGGCCAGGCUGGCUUUCCAGAUGAGAUCCAUCCAUCACAGUGUGACCCGAACGGCAUCAUGUAUGCCUCAGAACAGCUGGCGGCAGCCAUUGUGAGCUCUUCCUCUGGGGUCCCUGUGACCAAAUGCUGAAUAAUAAAGUGCAGAAGAAUGAAGCUGAAUCUUCUCUCCCAUACAAACCCAGAUUUAGCAUGGGAACGCUCCGAAGUGGGACUGUAACCUUGUUAUCUCCUUCCUCAAAUGCUGUCCACACCCUCAUGCCUCACAGUGUCUGUUUUGCUUACUCUUAAGAGGUCCUUAAAUUUGGCUCAGUAGUAUUCAGUGGGACAAAGCUGUUACACCAUGCUCACUUGCAUUUCACUCCUUUUUCCAUCCUUAUCAGUAUUGCUUUUUACUACUAUCAGCUUCUUAUAGCUGACAUUCCACACUGUUUACCAAAUGAGAGACUAAGGGCUCCACUAAAGGAAUUUUAGGGAUAUAACCUAGUGUAGGUAGGUUGGUAUUUGCCAGACUUAGGAAAUAAAACACAGGAGACCCAGUCAAAUUUGAAUUUCAGAUAAACAGUGAAUAUUUUUUUUAGUAUAAGUAUGUCCACUACAAUAUUUUGGACACAUAAUACUAAAAUAUUUUGUUGUUUAUCUUCAGAUAAACAGAUAAUUUGAAUUCAGAUCCAACUGGUGUUUCAUCUGGCAGCCCUAGGUGUGGGAGCAACAUCUGGGGAUGCUCUGCUCUUUGCAUUGGAUUUUGGCUUGCUCUUAGUAGGUGUGAUAAAUGGUGACUCAGUUCCAUGUCACCAGGUAUUCAGUUGCCACUUGACUCCAUUUAGGUGCUUACAUCGAUGAGACUUGAUUGCUGCUAUGCAUAUUAUUUUAUCACCUCAGUUAGAAAAUGGAUGCUUGAAAUUAACCCUUCCUACAGUAGAAAUCCUGAACAACUUCAGGGAUUUGAUGCGUGCUUCACUGUGCUCAAUAUAUAAACACAGAAGACUGCCUACUCCUGGACUGGUUAUAUGGCUUCUGGGGUCUGAAUGUUAAGGUUUUGAUUUUCUUCCAUUCUUUCUUUUAGCAGAAGCUCAUGUCUGAUCGACUCCAUUUUGGAGAGUCAGAGCAUCUUAGUGUCCUCAUAGGAGGGAAUACCCAAUGCCGUCCUCCUUAAUGCACCAUCACUCAGCCUCUGCUAGAACAUCUUCUGAGCAGGUGUUGUAUGAGUGGGGGAGGAGCUCCUGCUUCCUGAGAAAACCUGGUCUAUUGUUACACAGUGAUCAUUAUUAUAACGAUUUCUUUAUAGAGAGCUGAAACCUGACUUACUGUUUCUUACACACAGUUGUCCAUGUUUUGCCUUCUAGAGCUUUCCAACAUUUAUUUUACUGAAAUGGGAGGAGUUCCCAUAUCCCCGUCACAGGGCCUGCGACAGGGGCGUGGCUCGCUUCUUCAGUGCCUCGCUGCUCAAACUCCUAGAGGCCGCAUGCAGACAGGCAGGUUGUGGGGAGCGUUUUUGGGCUCCAAGCCCACGGCAGCAUCUAGGGUUGACUGUUUACAGCUCCCGAAGCCCCAGUGGGUGUGUGUUACAGUGUGCUCUUUCAGUUUUGCUGUCUGCAGGCCGCUUGUGUUCAUCAGCUCAGUUAGACCCUCUGCCUUAUCCCAAGGACAGAGGGCUUUCUGUAUCCUGAGUUCUUGCCCUAUUGUACCAGAAAAAUUGGAUCACACGUGGGCUUGGAGGAUGGGUGCAAGGUUUUAUUGAGUGGUGGAGGUAGCUCUGAAUGAGGUGGACGGGAAACCAGAAAGGGGAUGGAGUUGGAAUGUGACCUUCCGCUGGAGUCAGGCUGCUCAGCAGCCAGACUCUCCUCUGACUGCCCCCAACCAAAUUCCGCUGUCGAUGGCCUGCAGUGUUGGAUGGUGUCUGGUGGUGUGCUCUUCUGCUCCUCUCAACGUCCAGCCGCUUGUGUCUGUGCCCGCUAGGGUCUCGGGUUUUUAUGGGCACAGGAUGGGGGGCGUGGCAGGCCAAAAGCAGCUUUUUGGGUGCAAAAACAGAAAUGCCUGUCCUCAUUUAGGUUUGUGGGCACAGGCCCGAGGAUGGAGCCCUUGCCAGGGACCCCGCCCUUCUCUACCCAGCACUUCCCUGCCCUCCUCCUGUAUCAUUAUUAUGACCCAACAUAAGGAUAUAUUUUAUGUUUAGACCCACAAACACAAAUACAAAUAUAAAUAUAAUUAAACAGAAUUUCAUGGAAUAGCUAUUACUCUUAUUCGGCUGCAUCUGGUAUUUCCUAUUAUAUUCUAUUUCAUUUAUUUAAAAUGCGGGUCAGGACCCCGUUAAACUGAUUUCAUGACCCACAAUUGGGUGACCAACUACUGUUUGAAAAACAUUAUUGCUAUAUAGUGUUACAGAGCAAAUACAGAAUAAGUCUAUUCCUCAUUUCUUUCUAAAAGAUUUUGAAAUAUUUGAAGGUUGUCAUUAUUAUUAUGUCUUAAUCUUCUCUUUUCUACACUAGAUAUGGCCGAGUUUCCCCAUCCACUCCCAUCCUGCUCAACACCUUCUGAGUGCUUUCUAGCUGAGAAACAUUUCACUUAAAAUUUGGCACUGAGACAUGAGCACAUCACCUCACAUAUAACUUGGCCAAUACGUGGCAUUGUGGGACCAUUAGACCUCUUGAUUUCAACUCCCCUGCCUGAGUUUAUAUCAAUCAGUUAAUUAAUAUUCAUUUGGGUAUAGUUAUAAUUACUAAUUUACCUAAAAUACCUAACCUAGCCCAUUUUUUUUUUUCUGUUUUGUCUAUUUUGGUAUCUUGAAAUAUUUUUCCUAUUUGUUGGGGUGGGGGGAUGGGGAGCUCAAAUCAAGAUGAUAAUUAUUCAUGUUUCCUGGAUCUGCCCAAAACUCAGGAAAUAUAAACAAAAAGAAACUAUGUGUCUAGCACAGUCUAGCACAGCAAUAAUUAAAACUCCACGAAAAUGACCAUAUUUGGUAAGAAAAUGGCUAACAGGUUAAUAAUAGUUAAUAUUUCUAGAACACCUGCUGCAAGUUAAGCACUGGACUAAGAGCUUUACAUGUAAUUUACUCAUGAAUUUCUCACAGUCCUGUGAGGUGGAUACUAUUGUAACCACCGCUUAUGAAAUGAGGAAAAACGGCUUUACAGAAGUUAAGUCGUUCAGCCAAUAUCAUAGGACUACUAAGUGGCAGAGGAGGGGUGAUUCCAGGCCCAUCUGGCUGCUAAGUCUGUGUUUUAAAAUCUGUAACUGCUUCCCACAGAGAGGAAACCACCUCUGGUGGUUUAAAAAGAGAGAGUGCCUGUAACAUGCUGAGAAUAAUGCUUACAUGGAGGCUUAAUAAAUAGAUCUUACUGUCUCCUAUAAGAAAAGGGAACAGCUUAGUAGCAAAUUCAGGCCACUAAGAGUCCCCAGGAGUCUGUGAAAACUGUCUAGAUUCAUCACUAACCACAAUGGGGCAGGCCUCAGAGUGCUUUCCAGUCGGGAAGUAAGGUCUGGAGUCAAGAAACAUCUUUCUUGUACCCAUGAGAUGGGAGGCAACAUAAAAUAGUAGUUAAGAGCAAGAGCUUCUCACACCUGUAAUCCCAGCACUUUGGUAGGCUGAGGCAGAUGGAUCACCUGAGGUCAGGAGUUCAAGACCAGCCUGACCAACAUGGUGAAACCCCGUCUCUACCAAAAAUACAAAAAUUAGCUGAGCAUGGUGGCGCAUGCCUGCAAUCCCAGCUACUUGGAAGGAUAAGACAGGAGAAUAACUUGAACCAGGGAGGCAGAAGUUGCAGUGAGCCAAGACUGUGCCAUUGCACUCCAGCCUGGGCAAUAGAGUGAGACUCCAUCUCAAAAAAACAAAAAAGGCAAGAGUUCUGCAAAAACAGACUUGAAUCUUGGCUCUGUUAAUUUCAUUUAAUUAAUUUCAAAUUAAUUUCAGGGUUUUUUGAGGCUUUUGACACAGUUAUUAGCUAAAAAAUCAAAUGUUCAAAGAUAUGGAGCAGUGCCUAAUGUCUGGAGAGCAGCACUACCAUUUAUUAUUUCAUUUAUAGUUGGGAAAGUUUUUGAUGGUACUAACAGAUCAAAGUGGUGGCAGGAGGUUUUGGAACGGCUGGUUUAAAUGGCUUCAGGAGACUUCAGUGUUUUGUUUAGCUACAUGAUUGAAUGCGUAAUAAAUGCUUUGUGCUUUUGACUAUCAAUGCCUAGAGAAAGUGCAUCAGUGAAGAGAUGCAGGACGUUCAACUGAUUGGCAAAAAGCAAGCUUUAGCUUGUCUUACAGGAUGCUUAGUUUGCCAGUACACUUCAGACCAAUGGGAUAGUCAUAGAUGGCGUGACAGUGUUUAAAGGCAACAAAAGGCUACAUCUCCAUGUGGCCAGCACUGUCAUGAGCCUCACUAAGCUAUUUUGAAGAUUUUUAAGCAAUGAUAAAUUAAAAA
rnacentral:lncRNA from 1 species